rnacentral:rRNA from 1 species
CACUUUAUUGUUGUUUGAAUGUGGACUUGGAUGUUGCCGUUUUAUCACGGCUCGUCUUAAAUGCCUGAGUGUACCCUGUUUUGCAGCGUAUCCAGUGUAAUAAACAUUUCACUAGAGUUGGUCGAAAGACCGCGUUGACUAUAUGGGCUCUAUGCUUCAAACCGUCUGCCAUGUGGACAAUUUCUUGACAAUUUGACCUCAAAUCGGGUGGGACUACCCGCUGAACUUAAGCAUAUCAAUAAGCGGAGGAAAAGAAACUAACAAGGAUUCCCCUAGUAACGGCGAGUGAAGAGGGAAAAGCUCAAAUUUUAAAUCUGGUGUCUUUGACUCCCGAGUUGUAAUCUAGAGAAGUGUUUUCCGUGUCGGACCGUGUACAAGUUCCCUGGAACGGGGCGUCAUAGAGGGUGAGAAUUCCCGUAUAUGCCACGGACUACCGAUGCUCUGUGAUACACUCUCAACGAGUCGAGUUGUUUGGGAAUGCAGCUCAAAAUGGGUGGUAAAUUCCAUCUAAAGCUAAAUAUUGGCGAGAGACCGAUAGCGAACAAGUACCGUGAGGGAAAGAUGAAAAGCACUUUGGAAAGAGAGUGAAACAGUACGUGAAAUUGUUGAAAGGGAAGCGUUUGAAGUCAGUCGCAUCUGUUGGGGUUCAGCCUGGCUUUUGCCUGGUGUAUUUCCUUUCCGAUGGGUCAGCAUCAGUUUCGACCGAGGGAAAAAGACAUUUGGAAUGUGGCUGUCUUCGGGCAGUGUUAUAGCCUUGUGUUGUAUGUCUCGGUUGGGACUGAGGAUUGCAGCGCGCCAUAAAUGGCCGGGGGUCGCUCCUCUCGACACGC